rnacentral:rRNA from 1 species
AGCAGCCGCGGUAAUUCCAGCUCCAAUAGCGUAUAUUAAAGUUGUUGCAGUUAAAAAGCUCGUAGUUGAACUUCGGGGUUUACCCAUUGGUCAGGCUUAAUUGUCUGUACUGGUGAGAUGAAUCUCUACCUUCUGAGGAACUUUCAUGCCAUUUAUUUGGUGUGAUGGGAAAUCAGGACUGUUACUUUGAAAAAAUUAGAGUGUUUAAAGCAGGCUAACGUCUGAAUACAUUAGCAUGGAAUAAUGAAAUAGGACGGACUGAUUCUAUUUCGUUGGUUUCUAGGAUCACCGUAAUGAUUAAUAGGGAUAGUUGGGGGCAUUAGUAUUCAAUUGUCAGAGGUGAAAUUCUUGGAUUUAUUGAAGACUAACUACUGCGAAAGCAUUUGCCAAGGAUGUUUUCAUUAAUCAAGAACGAAGUUAGGGGAUCGAAGACGAUCAGAUACCGUCGUAGUCUUAACCAUAAACUAUGCCGACUAGGGAUCGGACGAAGUUAAUUUUAUAAUGACGCGUUCGGCACC